UACGUAGGGUGCGAGCGUUAAUCGGAAUUACUGGGCGUAAAGCGUGCGCAGGCGGUUCGUUGUGUCUGAUGUGAAAGCCCCGGGCUCAACUUGGGAACGGCAUUGGAAACUGGCGAGCUAGAGUGUGGCAGAGGGGGGGGUGGAAUUCCGCGUGUAGCAGUGAAAUGCGUAGAGAUGCGGAGGAACACCGAUGGCGAAGGCAGCCCCCUGGGCUGACACUGACGCUCAGGCACGAAAGCGUGGGGAGCAA
rnacentral:rRNA from 1 species